GGGUCAGUAGGUUGGUCGUGCCACCGGUACGUACUGGUCUCACUGAUUCCUCCUUCCUGAAGAACCGUAAUGCCAUUAAUUUGGUGUUGCGGGGAAACAGGACUGUUACUUUGAAAAAAUUAGAGUGUUUAAGGCAAGCUAACGCUUGAAUACACUAGCAUGGAAUAAUGAAAUAGGACGAUCGAUCCUAUUUUGUUGGUUUCUGGGAUUGACGUA
rnacentral:rRNA from 1 species